rnacentral:rRNA from 1 species
GAUAACGCUGGCGGCGUGCCUAACACAUGCAAGUCGAACGCCCUUUUGUCGCAAGUGAGAGGGAGUGGCGGACGGGUGAGUACCACGUGGGUACCGUACCUUGAGGUGAGGAAUACCACCGAGAAAUCGGUGACAAGACCGCAUACGCUUGGCAACAAGCAAAGUACUCGCAAGAGACGCCACAAGAUGGGCCGUGCGCCUGAUUAGCUAGUUGGUGAGGUAAUGGCNCACCAAGGCGACGAUCAGUAGCUGGUCUGAGAGGA